rnacentral:rRNA from 1 species
AGAGUUUGAUCAUGGCUCAGGAUGAACGCUAGCUACAGGCUUAACACAUGCAAGUCGAGGGGAAACGAUAUUGGAAGCUUGCUUUGUAUGGGCGUCGACCGGCGCACGGGUGAGUAACGCGUAUCCAACCUGCCCACCACUUGGGGAUAACCUUGCGAAAGUAAGACUAAUACCCAAUGAUAUCUCUAGAAGACAUCUGAAAGAGAUUAAAGAUUUAUCGGUGAUGGAUGGGGAUGCGUCUGAUUAGCUUGUUGGCGGGGUAACGGCCCACCAAGGCAACGAUCAGUAGGGGUUCUGAGAGGAAGGUCCCCCCACAUUGGAACUGAGACACGGUCCAAACUCCUACGGCAGGCAGCA